GUGGCUCCCAAGUUCUACCUCUAAUAUGCUCAUAAUCAUCCUCACAUUCUGAAUCUGUUCUGCGAGCAGAGACCAGAGCUAGCAGAACUAUUGCAAGCAGUAGAGAGAGUGCCUGAUCAGAAGAAACAGUUGGAAAUAAUUAAUAUAGUGAUGUAUCCGUGGCUCCUAGAAUGAUUCAUAUAGAAAAUACAAAUCAAAAGUUAUUUACAC
rnacentral:misc_RNA from 1 species